GCCGCUGCGGCUCAGGCUGCCCUUCAGCUGAACGGUGCCAUCCCGCUGAGCGCCCUGAACCCUGCCACCCUGACAGCCCUGAGCCCGGCAUUGAACCUGGCCUCGCAGACACUGGCGUCCCAGUGCCUCCAGCUCUCCGGGCUCUUCUCCUCCCCGGGCAUGUAGCGACCCCCCCCCCCCCACAGACCCUGGGGCUCGAGUGGGGGCUGGGCUGCCAGGGCCCCCCACGGAGUCAGAGCUCCAGGGGCAGAAAUGGGGCUGGGGGGGGCACGAGCAACAAACCACCCCCCUGCCCCACGGACCUUGCCCUGACCUCGCAGGGGCCCAUCUCGGGGAGGGGGGGCUCAAUGGGGGCACCUGGCUCUGCUCCCUGGCCCUACCUAGCCCCUCCCCCUGCCAACAAAUGUUUUUUUUUCCUUCUUUUUCUUUUAUUUUCUUUAUGGAAACAAAUUAAAAACAAUUACCACAAAAAAAA